rnacentral:rRNA from 2 species
CCUACGGGGGGCAGCAGUGGGGAAUAUUGCACAAUGGGCGCAAGCCUGAUGCAGCGACGCCGCGUGGGGGAUGACGGCCUUCGGGUUGUAAACUCCUUUCGCCAGGGACGAAGCGUGAGUGACGGUACCUGGAAAAGAAGCACCGGCUAACUACGUGCCAGCAGCCGCGGUAAUACGUAGGGUGCGAGCGUUGUCCGGAAUUACUGGGCGUAAAGAGCUCGUAGGUGGUUUGUCACGUCGUCUGUGAAAUUCCACAGCUUAACUGUGGGCGUGCAGGCGAUACGGGCUGACUUGAGUACUGUAGGGGUAACUGGAAUUCCUGGUGUAGCGGUGAAAUGCGCAGAUAUCAGGAGGAACACCGAUGGCGAAGGCAGGUUACUGGGCAGUUACUGACGCUGAGGAGCGAAAGCAUGGGUAGCAAACAGGAUUAGAUACCCUGGUAGUC